UACGGGGGGGGCAAGCGUUGUUCGGAAUUACUGGGCGUAAAGGGCUCGUAGGCGGCCAACUAAGUCAGAUGUGAAAUCCCCAGGCUUAACCUGGGAACUGCAUCUGAUACUGGAUGGCUUGAAUCCGGGAGAGGGAUGCGGAAUUCCAGGUGUAGCGGUGAAAUGCGUAGAUAUCUGGAGGAACACCGGUGGCGAAGGCGGCAUCCUGGACCGGCAUUGACGCUGAGGCGCGAAAGCUAGGGGAGCGAACAGG
rnacentral:rRNA from 1 species